UACGGUGAAUACGUUCCCGGACCUUGUACACACCGCCCGUCAAGCCAUGGAAGCUGGGUGUACCUAAAGUCGGUAACCGUAAGGAGCCGCCUAGGGUAAAACUAGUGACUGGGGCU
rnacentral:rRNA from 1 species